ensembl:snRNA U6 U6 spliceosomal RNA
CUGCUCACUUUGGUAGCACAUAUACUAAAACUGGAAUGAUACAGAGAAGAUUAGCAUGGCCCCUGCACAGGGAUGACACAAUGCUAUGAAACUAGAAAUCAACCACA